rnacentral:lncRNA from 1 species
UGGCAUCUCAAACAUCUUAGGCUCCUCCAAAGGGCUGGCAUCACUUCUCCAUCUCUGUUCUCUGUAGCACUCUAAGCUCAUGUUGAUCCACUCCACUGCCACUGCUGUUCUUGGUGAUCAUCCCAUGGUAUUAGCAUCUCCAAUACAUUGAGGUCUUCUGCUGCAAUGAGGUUUGACCAAUAACCUCUUAUGGGCUCUCUUCAUGGUGCCAAGUCUCAACUCGUUUGCAUGACCCCUUCAGUCCUGGGCUGUCAACUGCAACUGAGGCUGCACCUUCACCAAUGGCCUUCCCUAGCCUCUCACAGUGCCGAGCCUCAGCUUGUUCUUUAUGACGCCUUCAUGCAUUCAAGACCGGGACUAAAGGUAUAUAGUCCACCAAGCCUGGAUUUAAGUUUUUCUUCACCUAGAAUUUGCUCUGUUCUAGGCUGGCCUUGAAUUCAGAUAUCUGCUUGUCCUUGCCUUCUGGGAUUAAAGGCUUAUACUACCAUGCCUGGACCUAAAUUUAGCUGGAUGGAAUCUUGCUCCAAGGUCAUUACUCCCUUAAUUCAAUGAAAUAUUGUGGAACACAGGAUUCAGCUCCAUUUCACUUUCUGAUGUUCUCUCUCUUUUUUUUUUUUUUUGUUUCUACUUCUUUUUUUUUUUCCAUUUUUAUUAGGUAUUUAGCUCAUUUACAUUUCCAAUGCUAUACCAAAAGUCCCCCAUACCCACCCACCCCGACUCCCCUACCCAUCCACUCCCCCUUUUUGGCCUUGGCGUUCCCCUGUACUGGGGCAUAUAAAGUUUGCAAGUCCAAUGGGCCUCUCUUUCCAGUGAUGGCCGACUAGGCCAUCUUUUGAUACAUAUGCAGCUAGAGUCAAGAGCUCCGGGGUACUGCUUAGUUCAUAAUGUUGUUCCACCUAUAGGGUUGCAGGUCCCUUUAGCUCCUUGGAUACUUUCUCUAGCUCCUCCAUUGGGAGCCCUGUGAUCCAUCCAUUAGCUGACUGUGAGCAUCCACUUCUGUGUUUGCUAGGCCCCGGCAUAGUCUCACGAGACAGCUACAUCUGGGUCCUUUCGAUAAAAUCUUGCUAGGGUAUGCAAUGGUGUCAGCGUUUGGAUGCUGAUUAUGGGGUGGAUCCCUGGAUAUGGCAGUCUCUACAUGGUCCAUCCUUUCAUCUCAGCUCCAAACUUUGUCUCUGUAACUCCUUCCAUGGGUGUUUUGUUCCCAAUUCUAAGGAGGGGCAUAGUGUCCACACUUCAGUCUUCAUUCUUCUUGAGUUUCAUGUGUUUAGCAAAUUGUACCUUAUAUCUUGGGAAUCCUAGGUUUGGGGCUAAUAUCCACUUAUCAGUGAGUACAUAUUGUGUGAGUUCCUUUGUGAAUGUGUUACCUCACUCAGGAUGAUGCCCUCCAGGUCCAUCCAUUUGGCUAGGAAUUUCAUAAAUUCAUUCUUUUUAAUAGCUGAGUAGUACUCCAUUGUGUAGAUGUACCACAUUUUCUGUAUCCAUUCCUCUGUUGAGGGGCAUCUGGGUUCUUUCCAGCUUCUGGCUAUUAUAAAUAAGGCACUCAGACUAUAUAUUUUGUAUUUUUCCUUUCUCAGUUUGCUGUGCUUGUUCAAAAUGCUCUUCAUCAGAUUGACCCAGAGAACAAAGUUUUUUGGGCUUUUUUGAGACUUCCUUAGGGUCAAUGCAAUUAAUAUAAAUCUCUUUACCUUAGCUUCAGGCAGUCUCUUCAGACAGUGGCAAAAAGCAGCCAUGUUCUUCAACAAAACAUCACAAAAACAGUCUCUUGGCCACUUAUUAAAGUUCCCCACUGAAACUUCUUGGGCCAGCAGGCCUACUAGUUCAAAUGACCCUUAGCACCACUGUCUUCCAUAUUCCUAUUAGGUUGGCCCAUUAAGCCGCACUUAAAGCAUUCCAGGGCUUUCCAAAUCCAAAGUCCCCAAAUCCACAUCCUUCCAAACAAAAGCAUGGCCAGAUCUAUUACCUCAAUACUCCAGUCCCUGGUACCAACUUCUGUCUUAAUUAGGCUUUACUGCAGUGAACAGACACUAUGACCAAGACAACACUUACAAAGGGCAACAUUUAAUUGGGGAUGGCUUACAGGUUCAGAGGUUCAGUCCAUUAUCAUCAAGGUGGGAACAUGGCAGCAUCCAGGCAGGUAUGGUGCAGGAGGAGCUGAGAGUUCUACAUCUUCAUCUGAAGGCUGCUAGCAGAAUACAGACUUCCAGGUAGCUAGGAUGAGGGUCUUAAAGCCUACAUCUACAGUGAUGGACCUACUCCAACAAGGCCACACCUACUCCAGCAGGGCCACAUCUUCUAAUAGUGCCACUCCCUAGGCCGAGCAUAUACAAACCAUCACAAAAUAGUUUUUAUUCUUUUUUCUUAGUAUGCACCUAUAAGAGUUUUUCUAGGGAUGAGAGCAAGUUUGUGUUGCAUUCAUCAAGUAUGUGCUAGGUCCAAAUUGUUUUCCAGGUGCUAGUAUCAGUUUCUACUCCAGCAGUGCCCAGAGAGAUUUUGAUGACCCAUCUUAUUUGAUAUUUUCAAGCUUAUUUAUUUUUUUUAGUUCUGAUGACUGUAAAAUAUCCCACUGUGAACCUGAUUUCUACCUCUCUGAUUUUAAGUAGAAAGAAUAUUUCUAUGUACUCAUUGGAUAUUUGGUUUUCUGUUGCAGUAUUGCUCAGUUCUUCCUUCGAGUUUUCUGUUGCUGUCGGUCUUUUUAAUUGGUGUAUAGGAGCUCUAGGUUUAAAACACUUCAGGUACAGACUUUUAAAUAUAUGGCUGUGAUAUAUUCUCCUGUUGAGUGUUUUUUUCAGGUUCAUUGUGUGAUUGAUCAUCUGAUGACCAAACUCAUAAUUUUAAUGUGGUAGUGGUCGUGUGUAUCACAAAAAGUGUUCCCUUUUUGUUGGAACAGUGAGCCUGGGCUGGCAGCUGAGACAGGAGAUUUAGUCAGGGAGCGACUGUAACUGGAGAAGUAAAUUUGGGAGCUACCUGUUCAUAGGCUUUUGGUUUUUAUUUUGGUUUGAUAAUUUUACUUUGGGGUACAUACUUUAUUAUACCUUUUCUUGGGGGAUAAAUGAGAGUGUUUUAUAUUUUGGUUUUGAAGUAUAAGGAGAUAAAUAUAAUUUUGAAAACUUUAGGACAGUAAGAAAUAUGUAAAACAAUUGGAUUUUUUUUAAAGAUAAAAUGAUGGGGCUGGAAAGAUUCCUCUCCACUAAGAGCUCUGGCUAUUCUUCCAGAGGUCCUGAGUUCAAUUCCCAGCAACCACAUGGUGGUUCACAACCCUCUGAAAUGGGUCUGAUGACUUCUUAUGGUGUGUCUGAAGACCGCUACAGUGUAUUC